AUGUAUGUUCCAAAAGACCAAGGGGGUAUGAGCUUUAGAGAUAUACACUUUAAUCUGGCAUUGUUAGCUAAACAAGCUUGGCGUCUUCUUGAUAACCCUAAUUAUUUAUGUGCCAUAAUGUUGAGAGCCAAGUAUUUCCUUGAGGGUGAUUUGAUGAACGCGAGUUUAAAAAAGGACUCCUCUUUUACUUGGCAAAUCAUUACGGCGGGAGUAAACUCUCUCAGAAAUGGUUAUGUAUGGCGAGUUGGAAAUGGAGAAAAUAUUGAUAUCUAG
rnacentral:rRNA from 1 species